CCAACACAAGACGGCCCGCUGGUGAGGGCGCGCGGCUGCAGGACGGGGCGGAGAGCACUGCUCCUGGAGGGUCCCGACCCCGAGCGCCCCAGACCCCGCGCCCGCUUCCCGGCUCCGCGUCUCCUCCGCAGACGAGCUCCGAUGCGCGGUGAAGGCCCGGGCUGAACCCGACGUCCGUGCGGCGCCAGCCGGAGUGCACGACGGGUCAGCCACAGAGACCGCACCCCGGAGUCAGUGCGGGAAAGCCAGGCUCGCUCCUGGACUGAGCCCCGCUGCUCUCCGUCUGGGGCAGCCGGGGCCUUGCCCGCGCUGGGGGAGGGGCAGCGGGAGCCUCGGGUUUCCCACCGGGAGCUCCCCGCCCUCCUGAGCCCUCUGGCUGCCCGAGGCGAAGCACACGCCCUUGGGAAAUCCUCUCCCCGGCUCUGGCCGAGUCCUUAAAUCAGGGGCAGGGGGCCAUCCCAGGAAGGGCUGGACAGGGUCAGGCUGCAGACUUCACCGGGCUAGUCCCUACACGGACCCGCGGAUGCCUGGAUGCUGGGGUCCGUGCUAGGUCAGCUCAGCAGCCCCGGCUGUGGAAUGUGCUGGUGACACUAGUCAGAAAGGAGAGGGACGGUGGGAAGGGUGGGGGGGGCACCCACAGCUGACCUGCGGAGCGCUUCACGGGUCCUCUACGCUGGCGGCGCCGUGGCUGUGGGACGGAGGCACAUCUGGGUCGGGGGCUCUCCCUGUGCACGCACUUAACCCUGAUGACCUGCGGAAUGCCCUGCCUCCAAACACAGUGGCACGGGAGGUCGGGACCUGAACACAUGGAUUUGGGGGACACAGCUGAGUCCCAAGCAGAAGCUAUGAGAACUCAGCAGGGUCACACGCCCUGACUGAUGAGGGAACCUGGACCACCGGCACCCCGCAGCCCUGCGCUGGCGUCCUCAAGUCACCAGCAACCCCACUGGGUGGUCCUGACAAGACGUGAGUGGCUUUUGUGUCGUCAUCAUCGGCGCAGUAAGAGAUAACAUGAUCAUUGGCCCCGUGACCAGUUCUCAAGCACACGGGUCAGCGGCCUUGCGUGCGUGAACAGCGACGGGAGGUUCCAGGACCCAGGCUUCCCGCAGAAGCUGCUCCUGCCAAGCCUGAGGACCCCACCGCCAGCCGCCCAGAACCGCCAGCCUGGGCCUGUCUCUAGACAUUCCGCACGCCUGGAAUCCUACCCCGCGUGGCCUCCUGGCUUCUGUCCCUCCCUGCGCUGCAGGAAGGCUGCCCUGACCAGUGAGAAAGCACCAGGGCCUCUCCUUUCCCGCCCAGCUGUGAGAAUCUCAUGGUGUCGCAGGCCUCCUUUGCGGAGCCAUCCCGUCUCCUCUCUGGCCUGUCAGUCCUGGAGGCACGUCAGGGCGUUGGGCUGAGUCGAUCCCCGGAGAAGGCACACCUAUGGAUGCCCACGUGGGGCACAGAGAACGUGUGUCCACAGACUGCUCUCAGGGUCCCAGGAGCUCGCUUUGAAUACCGCGGAACCGUGGCGUGAAGGAGGCCCCUGGCUCCCAGUAAAACCUUCCUGACUCAGGGGACAGUGGCGACUUGGUGGUUCACAGUAACGGGCAUCUGAUGACCAUCUUCCUUUCUCUUUGGGAGCAGGAAGACACCAUCAAACCCACAGGUCACAGCACAGGCAGAGACACUGGGUAUGUCCUAGAUGGAACUGGGAGGCCAAGGGACAGCAGUACAGCAGAGCCUGGAGGAGGAAGUGGAGGACACCAGCCUGGGGUGGAGGAGAGGGGGCUGCAGGGUCUCCCUGGCAAUCUGCAUGCGUUCCCCAGAGCUGGAAGACAAGGCUGCCAUCCUCCUACAAUGGGUCCUGAGGUCAGAAAGGCAUGUCCGGCCCCGCAGACCCAGCCCUGCCCUCUUGCAGGGAAUCUUUUCUUCCUCAGUUUGCUUUGAUGUGCAAAAGUUCUUAACAUGGAUGAAGUCCAAUUUA